UACGGGGGGAGCAAGCGUUGUUCGGAUUUACUGGGCGUAAAGGGCGCGUAGGCGGUCAGCACAAGUCAGUUGUGAAAUCUCCGGGCUUAACUCGGAAAGGUCAACUGAUACUGUGCGACUAGAGUGCGGAAGGGGCAACUGGAAUUCUCGGUGUAGCGGUGAAAUGCGUAGAUAUCUGGAGGAAUACCGGUGGCGAAGGCGGCAUCCUGGACCAUUACUGACGCCGAGGCGCGAAAGCUAGGGGAGCAAACGGG
rnacentral:rRNA from 1 species